ACUUCUUUCUCACAUUCAGUUUCAUGAUUCCAUCUCAAUUUCACUUCUGAAUUCAAACAUUGAGUGAUGAAUUGAAUAAUUGGUGCAUGCAUUUGUAUUGUUGUUGUGUGUUGUCAUGAAGUUUAGCUCUCUAUUAAGUGAUUAAUUAAUUGUAAUAUAUUCGUAUUCUGAACUAGUUUGUUGAUUUCAACGUAUUAUAUGACCUUUUAAUUAUGUUAUUGUAAAUUUGGUGACCGUAUUGUUACUAAGUGCUAUUAGAUUUUACUGGAAUGCUUUAAAUUUUUUUGCCAGACCUACCCUAGUUUCAAAUUCUAGGUCCGCCACUGAUUCUAAGCCUGGCUAGGCUAGCCAACAGAACCGUAAAGACCCAAUCUACUGCAAGAAGGUAUUCAGAGCAAGCAGUUUCAACACUUCCUCGCUCACAUUGGGUGGUUGCUCCUCAAAAAGUACAUCUGAAGUACUAUAAAUUUUACAGUGUUUUGGUCUUUAAAAAAAUUACAGUGUUUGGGAAUUACUAUAGUAAUCCACGAGCCCCAUCCAAUGUUAAAUAAAUAAAGCUAUAUUGGUAUUUUCAUAGUAUCCAGGUUCCUUCAAGCACCCUAACAAACUUCUUGAAGUAAAAUAUUUUUGUUAAUAAUUUGGGUGGGUUGGGCACUUUGGGCUUGUACUUAUACUUGGCGGAGGCUAAAAAAAUCAGCUAAUCCCAAGCCCAUCCCAGUCUCAGAUACACCGAAGUGAAGCCCACACAAAAAUUCUGGUGAGUUCUUCGUUGAGCUGCCGGGCCGGUCUCCUUGAGCCUCGUUACCUCGCUGUUCGCCGGCGACCCACUGGGGCUGACAGGAGAAGGAAGUCGCUGCGGCUUCCAAAGGGAAAUCACGGGGUUGUGUUGUGCCUGGAUGAGAUCAAUGUUCACAAACGUGCAGCGCCAGGUCGAGCGCACCGGCCGCUCCGGCACUCCGCGGGACAAGUACCUUCAGGAUCUUGUGUCUCAGUUCCAGAACGCCACAGAUGAAGAGUCUAAGGAGAAGAUAGCGGCAAACUUGGCAAAUUUCGCGUACGACCCUUUUAAUUAUGCAUUCAUGCGUCAGCUGAAUGUUCUUGAGUUAUUCUUGGACUGCAUUACAGAGCCAAAUGAAAGGCUUAUCGAGUUUGGUAUUGGUGGAAUUUGUAACUCAUGUGUUGAUCCGGCAAAUGCUUUAGUCAUUGUUCAAUGCGGCGGAAUCCCAUUGAUUAUACAAUGCUUAUCAAGCCCGGUGCGGAACACUGUGAGUAUUUCUGAAGCUAGCAAAAGGAGGUUUUGUUCUUUAGGUGACUUAUGCACUUGGGGCUUUGUAUUAUCUAUGCAACCCUGCGACAAAGAAAGAGAUCCUGAAACCUGAUGUAGUUAGGAUUAUAAGAGAGUAUGCUGCAGCAGGAGCUGUUAACACCAGCUUCAGCAACAUGGCUAAUGCUUUCCUGGAGAAGCAUGUUGACCAUGACCUCGAGGGUGCUAUGCAAAGGUGCCAUAAUGUCAUGUUCACAGAAAUUGGCAUUAUGAAAGAGGGAGUAAAAUGGAAGGAGGCUUCAAGACCAGAAUUGAAAUUCUGCUGUGCAUCCAUAUCUGAUGCUUACUCAAGCAGCUAGCUUAUUCCUUGAUGAGAGAACGACGCCCAUAAGGCCUGGCUGAACAAUGAAUUCCUGCUCUUCAGCAGGAACAUUUCCCUGGUUUUCUAUACUUAUAGUUCAGUUAUCUGUCCAAGUAAUUUGGUAAUACCAACAAUUUUCUGUUCUUGAAUUGCCAGCUUGACAUCUGCGCUGGCAAUGCUAUCCAACGAAUACUCACUGAAGUCAAUGUAGCUGUCAUGGGUUAUUCUUCCUUUUCGGUCUCUGGCAGAACAUGUAAUUUAAAGACUCUGCAAUGUAGCUUCAAAGAGUUCAUUUUCCGUUUUCCAU